UUCACCAGGGGGCUGUGUGUGAGCUCUGGGCCUCGGUCAUCUCCGUCCCCGAGUGUGGUACUGGACUUAGCCCAGAUUUCUCACCAGAUCACGGGCUUUUCAGUUGUAUGUGAGAGAAAGAAUGGUUCCGGCUCACGGCUUCUAAAACCUUGGAAUUUCCCAAACCAUCUCUUGUUACAAUUUUCAGUCUCUUGUCCUCGGUUUCUGAAAUCUCUUUCCGAUCCCUGAGGGCGAUGGGUGUUUUGUUAUUGAAAACAGGCUCCCUUUACCCCAAGUGGGUUUAUGUUAACAAGGCAACUUCCAUUCAUGAUUAGAAGGUUAAAACUUUCAGUCCCACACCCUGAUUUCUGGGGAGGGGAAAGGGGCUUGAAGUUGGAUCCGUCACCGAUGACCACUGAUUUAAUCAGUUAUCCUACGUAAUGAAGCCUCCAUGAAAACUCGAGAGGACGGCGUACAGAGGACUCCCAGCCAGCGACCAGGAUGCUUCCCCCGCCCUGCCGUGCUGGUCUUCAAGCUUCACGAAGACAGAAGUCCCUUCGCUCACCACCUCCCUUAUGCAUCUCUUCAUCUGGCUGUUGAUUCAGAUCCUUAAUAUCUGCAAUAGGUCAAUAAUACAGUUAGUAAACAAG